rnacentral:rRNA from 1 species
GAUGAACGCUGGCGGCGUGCCUAAUACAUGCAAGUCGAGCGAACAGACGAGGAGCUUGCUCCUCUGACGUUAGCGUCGGACGGGUGAGUAACACGUGGAUAACCUACCUAUAAGACUGGGAUAACUUCGUGAAACCGGAGCUAAUACCGGAUAAUAUAUUGAACCGCAUGGUUCAAUAGUGAAAGACGGUUUUGCUGUCACUUAUAGAUGGAUCCGCGCCGCAUUAGCUAGUUGGUAAGGUAACGGCUUACCAAGGCAACGAUGCGUAGCCGACCUGAGAGGGUGAUCGGCCACACUGGAACUGAGACACGGUCCAGACUCCUACGGGAGGCAGCAGUAGGGAAUCUUCCGCAAUGGGCGAAAGCCUGACGGAGCAACGCGGCGUGAGUGAUGAAGGUCUUCGGAUCGUAAAACUCUGUUAUUAGGGAAGAACAAAUGUGUAAGUAACCAUGCACGUCUUGACGGUACCUAAUCAGAAAGCCACGGCUAACUACGU